CCCACCCCCCAGCUUUGCAUGUCCUUCUUUCUCUACACUUGGAAAGCCCUGUCUUUUUCUUCUCUCCCUCACCCGGUCUUUACAUGGAGAUUUUACCCUCAGACUUUAGAUCCGGCUCAGGCACCAACACUUCUGUGAAGUCUUUCUUGAUGAUCACAAGAGUCUGUGGUUCUGCCCAAUGUGUGGAUCCUAAAUCUAGUAUGUCUUUGUAAGGAGACACCAAAACAGAGGAGGCACAGGCAAGGGGCCACGUGAAGUUACUGUAGUUACAUGGCCAACAGAUACCAGAAGCUGGGAGAGGAAGGAAGACUUCUUCCCUGGGUCCUUCAGAGAGAGAGACCCUAAUGACACCUCAAUUUCAGACUUCUGACCUCCAGAACAAGGCGAGAGUAAAUUUCUUUUUCUUUAA